AAGAAGAAGGGGAAAAAGAAAAGGAAAGGAGAUAGAAGCUGCGUUGAGCCAUAUCAGAGCCUGUCGUUUGACGAGUUGAGCUUCAUCGUGUCCUUGUUUGUAUGUCUCAUUUUGUUAAUUCAUACAACAUAUAUUUUGGGGGUUAAUGUAUUUUGUAUCAAAAAUGUAUUAAGUCUCAUACCCAUUGCAUAUUUUGUGUAUGUUUUGAAAUGGUAAAUUUCUUUUUCAGUACAACUCCUUGAAGAAUUAGUAUUU